AGAGUUUGAUUAUGGCUCAGGAUGAACGCUGGCGGCGUGCCUAAUACAUGCAAGUCGAACGGGGUUGAAGGGAGCUUGCUCCUAACGACCUAGUGGCGAACGGGUGAGUAACACGUAGGUAACCUGCCCUUAAGCUUGGGAUACCCAGAGGAAACUUUGGCUAAUACCGGAUAACAACAGAAGAGGCAUCUCUUCAGUUUGAAAGGCCCUUUACGGGGUCACUUAAGGAUGGACCUGCGGCGCAUUAGCUAGUUGGUGAGAUAACAGCCCACCAAGGCGAGGAUGCGUAGCCGACCUGAGAGGGUGAUCGGCCACAUUGGAACUGAGACACGGUCCAAACUCCUACGGGAGGCAGCAGUAAGGAGUUUUCGGCAAUGGGGGAAACCCUGACCGAGCAACGCCGCGUGAGUGAUGACGGCCCUAUGGGUUGUAAAGCUCUGUUGUAAGGGACGAAUGAUUCGCUUAGGAAAUGAAGCGGAUUUGACGGUACCUUACCAGGAAGCCACGGCUAACUACGUGCCAGCAGCUGC
rnacentral:rRNA from 1 species